rnacentral:rRNA from 1 species
UACGUAGGGUCCGAGCGUUAUCCGGUAUUAUUGGGCGUAAAGAGUGCGUAGGCGGUUUGGUAAGACACUGGUUAAAGCUCCGGGCCUAACCCGGAAAUCGCCCGUGUGACUAUCAGACUAGUCGGUAGCAGGGGCAAGCGGAAUUGUCGGUGUAGGAGUGAAAUCCAUUGAGAUCGACAAGAACACCAAUGGCGAAGGCAGCUUGCUAGGCUAUUUGAGACGCUGAGGCACGAAAGCGUGGGGAGCGAACGGG